CCCAGCCUUUUUUCUUACAGCUGCUUCACAUAGGACCUUUCUUCCCCUCCUGCAGCUGAUUCUACCACCUGUCUCACUAAAGCUGGCACUCAGUCCCCACAGAUACAAAAGACACACUCGAUAGAGAUAGUGACAUCAGGCAAACAGCUACACACAAACUGCUCUGGGCAAUCAUCAAGAGCAUAAGGUUUAAAUGAACAGAGAAAACCUCCCCCUAAAAAUCAACAGUGCUGAAGGAAACAAACUGAAAUACCCAGAAGCCUUGGAAAUACUCAAAACUUGAUACAGAACAGGCAUCUUUUUGUUCACUCUACUUUUCAGGAGACCAAAAAAAUCAUUGCUUGCAGAAAGGAUUUCUCCAACACCUUUGAACUUUUGCCAUCGACAUGCAUCACGUCAGGAGAGUUGCAAAGCCUUGCUUUGACUGCCUGGCUGAUCACGCUGCCUUUCGUUGGUAUCAUCCCCUCAAGAACAUCUCAAAAGCUGAUGCUGAAAGUUAAAUGCUGGGAACAAAGUUGCUUUAUUUGUCUUCUUACUUGUCUUCACUUUGCAAGAAAAGGUUCAAGAGCCUUUUGGUGAUUGGAGGCUGUGGAUGGUUGUAUGCAAGGUGGAGUGAAUGGAUGGACG
rnacentral:lncRNA from 1 species